GCCAUCUAGGAAAAAAGAAAUAUACACAAAUUAUUUGCAGUGUAGAAGUUAAGAUUGCUAAAAUGGGUAUUAAAAACUCCAUUGCCAAAAGAAAGAAAAAGGGAUGGCCAUCUGCAAGCCAAGGAGAGGGGCCAGCAGAAAUCUACAGACACCUUGAUCCAGGAUUUUCAAGCCUCCAGAACUGUGAGAAAUAAAUUUCUGAUGUUUGAGCCAAAAAAGAAAAACAAAACCAUUGUUGAGGCCUUUAUUGUGAUUUAAAUGAUAAUUCUUGUCUUGCACCACUACUCCCAAAACACUUCGGCCUCAACACCCCAAAUUCUACCAUCUUAAAAUGCAUUAAGAUUGCACAAAUACACCUUAAACAGUGUCAAAAUAUUACUGAUUCUUUUUGAAUACACAACAUCCUGAGAAAAGGAUCCCAUCAAGAAUUCAGAUGUGUAGUGUGAAGAAAGAAAGGAGCCGGGCAGAGCAGAGUGGUGGUGAGGACACAGUGCCCCGUCUUAGCUCUGGGUGUGAACUAACGUGGCUGAAGGUGAGAGCAGAGAGCCUUAGGGGUAACUUGGCAAAACUUUCUGACUCACUGAGAAGUCAGGGAAAUAUACAGAGAGGUUACAGAGCUCACCUUAAUAAGGACUUGACAGCAAAGGGAUUUAUGAUGCAAAAAAAAAAAAAGAUCUACUGGCUAAGGUUUUUAAUACAUGUUCUUACAAAAUUGUUUCCUUUGCACAUGUAAGAAAGGUUGGGGGUUUUUGCUUCACUACUUUUCUUUUUUAUUCUUGUAGUUCUUCCUCUUAAACUGAAAAUCUUAGUUCCUGAAUACAUGUAUGCUUUAAUCUGAAAAGCAUACAAACUGUUUCAAACUAACAAUACCAAUUUGUUAUUAACAUAAGACUGAAAGAUUUUAAAGAUUUUUCUCUGGCUCUUUCUGUCACCAAGAUAAAUCCACCAAGGUUGUCUAACUGAAAUACUGUGUUUAAGAAUCACUUGAAAAAAAAAUUCUUCUGACUAUAUUACUUGACAACUAAUUUGGCCCAUUUGCUUCCCUUUUUAUCCUCCCAAUCUUUAGAGACUGAUUUGUUUUUCAUGAUGUAUUUAAGUGGUUUCAAAGUAAAAACUAAAAACAAGGCACAUUAAGGGGAGUCUCUGUCCAGCCAUGUUCUCUCCCUUCCCAUACAGGUAACCGUGUCUAUUAGUUUUGUUUACCCUUUGUUUCUUUUUCAAAAUAGAAGCAAAUGUAUGUGUACACACAUAUACAUUCUUACAUAAAAGCUGGAAUGCUCCACACUGCUUUGUACCUUGUUGGUUUUUUACUUAACUAUACCUUUUGUAUUCCCCCUACAGUACUCGACUGUAUGAUAUACUGAUGGACACCUGGGUUGUUUCCAGUACCUUUUGACAAGUAGUGAGUCCCGCAAUAAAUAGCAUGACCAUCUGGGAGAGAGGACUGCUGCAUCAGAGAGUAAAUGAGUUUUACGGUUUCAGGUGUUAACAUUCAAGUCUUCAAUCCACUUUGAGUUGAUUUUUGUGCUUAGUGUAAGACAGCGAUCCAGUUUCAUUCUUUUGCAUACGACGGUGCAGUUUUCCUAACAUCAUUUACUGAUGAGAGACUAUCCUCCCAACAUCGUUCACUGAAGAGAAUCCUUUUCCCACUGUAUAUUUCUGGUUCCUUUGUUGUAAGUUAAUUGAUUAUAUAUGUGGGUUUAUUUCUGGGCUUUUCUAUUCUGUUCCAUUCGUUUAUGUGUCUGCUUUUAUAAUAAUACCACACACAGUUUUGAUUACAAUAGCUUUGUAAUAAAAGUUUGAAGUCAGAAA